GUCCCGGUUUAAGCAUGUAGGCUGAUUGUCCAGGCAAAUCCGGAUAAUCAAGGCUGAGGUGUGAUGACGAGGCACUACGGUGCUGAAGUAACAAAUGCCCUGCUUCCAGGAAAAGCCUCUAAGCAUCAGGUAACAUUAAAUCGUACCCCAAACCGACACAGGUGGUCAGGUAGAGAAUACCAAGGCGCUUGAGAGAACUCGGGUGAAGGAACUAGGCAAAAUGGUGCCGUAACUUCGGGAGAAGGCACGCUGGUGUGUAGGUGAAGUCCCUGC
rnacentral:rRNA from 1 species